UACGGGGGGGGCAAGCGUUGUUCGGAAUUACUGGGCGUAAAGGGCUCGUAGGUGGCCAACUAAGUCAGACGUGAAAUCCCUCGGCUUAACCGGGGAACUGCGUCUGAUACUGGAUGGCUUGAGUGUGGGAGAGGGAUGCGGAAUUCCAGGUGUAGCGGUGAAAUGCGUAGAUAUCUGGAGGAACACCGGUGGCGAAGGCGGCAUCCUGGACCAUUACUGACACUGAAUAGCGAAAGCCAGGGAGCAAACGGG
rnacentral:rRNA from 1 species